UUUUUGUCUCCUUCAAGGGAGGGAUUGCAGUGUCGCCGCUGAAGUGACGUCUCGGCUCGCGUCGCGGUUAUUACAUGGGGGGUUCCGGGGAACCCGAGGCUUAGAGAUGAGGUGUGACCGAAGCUGAGGGGCGGUUGACAUUGAAACCCAGAGGCUUCAACCUCCAGAACAUCCCUGGCCCCAGCAACCACUUCUUGGUACCACCUGUUCCUCAGUGGGAGGCACGGAAAAGGAAACUUUUCCCAAAUUGCACGUGAAGUUUGCAGAGCCUCCCCCGACCCAUCCCUUAUUUCCUGAUCAAUAAUUUGCGUGGGAUUGUCUCUCAAGAAUGUAAGUGUGUCAGGAACCCUGACACUGUCAUGAAGAGCAAGAAGGAAAAACUCAGAGAAUUCAAACUCAGCUGGAAACUGCUGGAGGAGCUGCCAGACGCAAUCAAGGAAGAGGAGAAACACUGGGGCCUGAAAAAAGAGAGCAUGAAACAUACCUCGUAUGCACGGUGCAGUGGAAAAGGCGAGAAACUGAAAUCUCUCCACGAUGCAGACACAAGUACAGGUAGGGCCAAGGAUACUCCAAGGUUUGGUUCUUGAUAAAUUCAACUUUUAAAAAAAUAGCCUGUAAAAACAAAAAUUCUACUUGAGCCCUUAAAGAUUCUGAUUACUGAACUUUUGACAUGAGAGAAAAAAUAAUACUACAAAUCACCAGAGGCUAGUCCAGUAGCAAAAUACACUGUUUCUCUAGAAUCAAUCCUUAAACAUUCAAUAACAACCCUCUCUCCCUUUUUUAAAAAUAUAUUUUUAUUGAUUUCAGAGAAGAAGGGAGAGAGAGAGAGAGAUAGAAACAUCAAUGAGACAAAAUCAUCAAUUGGCUGCCUCCUG